AAUCAUGAAGAAUGCCUGUUUUCUACUCUCUAAGUGCUCGUAUAUUCAACUAAGAGUAGAGAAAAAUGACUAGGAUAUAAGAAAGAGAUAAGGCAGAAAGGGGCAUUAGUUACGAUUUGUGGAAGGGGAUUGGAAAAUGACUUCACAGAUUGGGUGACAUUCAAACUAGAUCUUUGAGAAGAUGAAGAAUUUCACCAAAUGAAGGAGAGAGGACCCAUUGUGGACAAUUUCCCAUGUCAUAAGUAUUCAUGGUGUGCUGCAAUUUGCUGGGGGUCCAUUCCAGACCCUUUUCACAUGGGUAUCACCAAUAGAGUCUGCAGAACAGCAAGGAUUGCUGCCUACUCUUUCUUCUGGAAGCUUUGUCCCAGAGUGACACCAACCUGAUGCCAGCCGGAACUCUCCUGUAUGAGAUGUCUUGCAAAACCUGCUGGGAAGUUUCUACUACCAUUUAGUGUUUCCUAGCAGCUUGAUUUUAGCACCAAUGAAACCCAGAAAAUUACAAGUCACCUAAUGAGGACUAGUCAAAUGAGAGAGACAGAACUGAUAGGACUCUCAAACCAGGCUCCUGAUAUGGUACACCUGAUGAACAUUUGAAUACAUCAAUGACAAAAGGAUUUAAAAAUAUUCAAGCACAGCCCAGAUUCACUUUAUGGAACUUAAAUAACACCAUCUUCAAGUUUAAAAUUUGAUUGCAUCAAUAGAAAGAGAGGUGUUCACUGUUGAUUACUGAAUUAGUAGCACCGAAGAAGAAGUGGAGAAAAUAUCACAGUGCAAAACAUACAGCAAUGAAAAACAUAAGGGAAUAGUUGAGUGACAUUAAGGAAAAUAGGAGUUCCAGAAAGAGAAAAAUGAAAGGUUGGGUUAAGACACUAAUUAAAUAAUAGAGAAAAACUUCCCUAUGUGUUAAAGAAAGACCAGUUAAAAGGACUUCACAAAUUCUAGUCAGGAUUUAUAAGAAAAUGACUCACACCUUAGUAAGGUAAAACUUUCAAAUUUCAGGCAUGAAGAUAAAAUAUUAGAAGCUUCUGCUUAGGAAGAACAAGUACAUUAUGAAGGCAGGUGGAUCAGACUGGAAUCAGGCUGCUCAUCUCCCACUUUGGGCCAUAAUAGAAUGAAAGUCAACAGCAGAAUUGCAUCAUAGUAAAAUAACACCCACAAGAUCUCAAUCCUGACUGCAUGUUAGAAUCAGCUGAGGAGCUUUAGAAAUACUGCUGCUGGGCUCCACCCCAGAUGAAUUAAAUCAGAAUCUCUGGGGGUAGGGCUAAGAAUUGGCAUUUUAACUCCCCAGGUGUUUCUAAUAAGCAACUAACAUUGCAAUUAACAUUGCAAUCUUAUCUAUAAACUACUGGGAGGAAAAAUCCUACGUCCAGCCAAGCUGACAUCCAUCUGCCAAGGUGAAGUAAAGAUUAUUUAUAGAUAUACACAUUUUAGAAAAUGUAUUAGUAUUUAUCUAAUCUGAGAAAAUAGAAAAGAGAGCAGAUAAAUUAGAAUAGUCAAGAUGGAAAAAGACAAAGAACAAACAAGAAACAAUGGAGAGCAAAGGGCUAUAUAAUGUCUGAUGACGUCUAAAUAGACAUAAUAGAAAUGGUUAUUGAAGCCUAGGAGUUUACCAAAAGCCACCAAAAUAAAGGUUCUUAAAACA